UAAAACAUAGAAAUUCUAGAAAAUAUACUUUCUCUUACGAUUAUGAGGAGAAAUUAAAACAAGUAUGUGAAUCAGGUUAUAUGCAGUCUUGUGGUCCGAAUGUAAACUGUUAAAUUGAAUGUAAAUAUUUGUCAUGUAGUUAUUUCAAAAUAUAAAUCACAUCUACUAUUA